AGCGUACACGGUGGAUGCCCUGGCAGUCAGAGGCGAUGAAGGACGUGCUAAUCUGCGAUAAGCGUCGGUAAGGUGAUAUGAACCGUUAUAACCGGCGAUUUCCGAAUGGGGAAACCCAGUGUGUUUCGACACACUAUCAUUAACUGAAUCCAUAGGUUAAUGAGGCGAACCGGGGGAACUGAAACAUCUAAGUACCCCGAGGAAAAGAAAUCAACCGAGAUUCCCCCAGUAGCGGCGAGCGAACGGGGAGCAGCCCAGAGCCUGAAUCAGUGUGUGUGUUAGUGGAAGCGUCUGGAAAGGCGCGCGAUACAGGGUGACAGCCCCGUACACAAAAAUGCACAUGCUGUGAGCUCGAUGAGUAGGGCGGGACACGUGGUAUCCUGUCUGAAUAUGGGGGGACCAUCCUCCAAGGCUAAAUACUCCUGACUGACCGAUAGUGAACCAGUACCGUGAGGGAAAGGCGAAAAGAACCCCGGCGAGGGGAGUGAAAAAGAACCUGAAACCGUGUACGUACAAGCAGUGGGAGCACGCUUAGGCGUGUGACUGCGUACCUUUUGUAUAAUGGGUCAGCGACUUAUAUUCUGUAGCAAGGUUAACCGAAUAGGGGAGCCGAAGGGAAACCGAGUCUUAACUGGGCGUUAAGUUGCAGGGUAUAGACCCGAAACCCGGUGAUCUAGCCAUGGGCAGGUUGAAGGUUGGGUAACACUAACUGGAGGACCGAACCGACUAAUGUUGAAAAAUUAGCGGAUGACUUGUGGCUGGGGGUGAAAGGCCAAUCAAACCGGGAGAUAGCUGGUUCUCCCCGAAAGCUAUUUAGGUAGCGCCUCGUGAAUUCAUCUCCGGGGGUAGAGCACUGUUUCGGCAAGGGGGUCAUCCCGACUUACCAACCCGAUGCAAACUGCGAAUACCGGAGAAUGUUAUCACGGGAGACACACGGCGGGUGCUAACGUCCGUCGUGAAGAGGGAAACAACCCAGACCGCCAGCUAAGGUCCCAAAGUCAUGGUUAAGUGGGAAACGAUGUGGGAAGGCCCAGACAGCCAGGAUGUUGGCUUAGAAGCAGCCAUCAUUUAAAGAAAGCGUAAUAGCUCACUGGUCGAGUCGGCCUGCGCGGAAGAUGUAACGGGGCUAAACCAUGCACCGAAGCUGCGGCAGCGACACUAUGUGUUGUUGGGUAGGGGAGCGUUCUGUAAGCCUGUGAAGGUGUGCUGUGAGGCAUGCUGGAGGUAUCAGAAGUGCGAAUGCUGACAUAAGUAACGAUAAAGCGGGUGAAAAGCCCGCUCGCCGGAAGACCAAGGGUUCCUGUCCAACGUUAAUCGGGGCAGGGUGAGUCGACCCCUAAGGCGAGGCCGAAAGGCGUAGUCGAUGGGAAACAGGUUAAUAUUCCUGUACUUGGUGUUACUGCGAAGGGGGGACGGAGAAGGCUAUGUUGGCCGGGCGACGGUUGUCCCGGUUUAAGCGUGUAGGCUGGUUUUCCAGGCAAAUCCGGAAAAUCAAGGCUGAGGCGUGAUGACGAGGCACUACGGUGCUGAAGCAACAAAUGCCCUGCUUCCAGGAAAAGCCUCUAAGCAUCAGGUAACAUCAAAUCGUACCCCAAACCGACACAGGUGGUCAGGUAGAGAAUACCAAGGCGCUUGAGAGAACUCGGGUGAAGGAACUAGGCAAAAUGGUGCCGUAACUUCGGGAGAAGGCACGCUGAUAUGUAGGUGAAGUCCCUUGCGGAUGGAGCUGAAAUCAGUCGAAGAUACCAGCUGGCUGCAACUGUUUAUUAAAAACACAGCACUGUGCAAACACGAAAGUGGACGUAUACGGUGUGACGCCUGCCCGGUGCCGGAAGGUUAAUUGAUGGGGUCAGCGCAAGCGAAGCUCUUGAUCGAAGCCCCGGUAAACGGCGGCCGUAACUAUAACGGUCCUAAGGUAGCGAAAUUCCUUGUCGGGUAAGUUCCGACCUGCACGAAUGGCGUAAUGAUGGCCAGGCUGUCUCCACCCGAGACUCAGUGAAAUUGAACUCGCUGUGAAGAUGCAGUGUACCCGCGGCAAGACGGAAAGACCCCGUGAACCUUUACUAUAGCUUGACACUGAACAUUGAGCCUUGAUGUGUAGGAUAGGUGGGAGGCUUUGAAGUGUGGACGCCAGUCUGCAUGGAGCCGACCUUGAAAUACCACCCUUUAAUGUUUGAUGUUCUAACGUUGACCCGUAAUCCGGGUUGCGGACAGUGUCUGGUGGGUAGUUUGACUGGGGCGGUCUCCUCCUAAAGAGUAACGGAGGAGCACGAAGGUUGGCUAAUCCUGGUCGGACAUCAGGAGGUUAGUGCAAUGGCAUAAGCCAGCUUGACUGCGAGCGUGACGGCGCGAGCAGGUGCGAAAGCAGGUCAUAGUGAUCCGGUGGUUCUGAAUGGAAGGGCCAUCGCUCAACGGAUAAAAGGUACUCCGGGGAUAACAGGCUGAUACCGCCCAAGAGUUCAUAUCGACGGCGGUGUUUGGCACCUCGAUGUCGGCUCAUCACAUCCUGGGGCUGAAGUAGGUCCCAAGGGUAUGGCUGUUCGCCAUUUAAAGUGGUACGCGAGCUGGGUUUAGAACGUCGUGAGACAGUUCGGUCCCUAUCUGCCGUGGGCGCUGGAGAACUGAGGGGGGCUGCUCCUAGUACGAGAGGACCGGAGUGGACGCAUCACUGGUGUUCGGGUUGUCAUGCCAAUGGCACUGCCCGGUAGCUAAAUGCGGAAGAGAUAAGUGCUGAAAGCAUCUAAGCACGAAACUUGCCCCGAGAUGAGUUCU
rnacentral:rRNA from 1 species